AACGAACGCUGGCGGCAUGCCUAACACAUGCAAGUCGAACGAUCCCUUCGGGGCUAGUGGCGCACGGGUGCGUAACGCGUGGGAACCUGCCCUUAGGUUCGGAAUAACUCAGAGAAAUUUGUGCUAAUACCGGAUAAUGUCUUCGGACCAAAGAUUUAUCGCCUUUGGAUGGGCCCGCGUUGGAUUAGCUAGUUGGUGGGGUAAAGGCCUACCAAGGCGACGAUCCAUAGCUGGUCUGAGAGGAUGAUCAGCCACACUGGGACUGAGACACGGCCCAGACUCCUACGGGAGGCAGCAGUGGGGAAUAUUGGACAAUGGGCGAAAGCCUGAUCCAGCAAUGCCGCGUGAGUGAUGAAGGCCUUAGGGUUGUAAAGCUCUUUUACCCGGGAUGAUAAUGACAGUACCGGGAGAAUAAGCCCCGGCUAACUCCGUG
rnacentral:rRNA from 1 species